rnacentral:tRNA from 1 species
GCCCCCGUAGCUCAAUGGAUCGAGUGCCGGGCUUCGGACCCGGAGAUGAGGGUUCGAUUCCUUCCGGGGGCACCA